CACCGCAAUCUCUGCCUCCUGAGUUCAAGCGAGGAGCAACCCUACCUGAUGGACUGGACUUCUGCCUGGAUUGGAGUUUGAUCAUGCCUCCAUAUGGGUGUUUACCAGGCGUAUGCAUUGAACCUGAGUUUGUCUCUUCAAUACAAGGAAAAUCUCUGCCGCUUAGUGAUUUUCCAAGAAACAUGAGCUUCUGCCUUUCAAUGAGGAAGAUACUCAGAAGUCAUGUUCGAGCACUCCGGAAAAUGUCCUUGGAGUUUCAACAUUUCUUUGGUCUUCCACAUUUCAUUUUGUCCUGAUUAAAGAGGAAGCCAGUUGCUGUUUGUGUGGCCAUGUGAGCAGGCAGGGAGAUGGUGGCUGCCUAGAAGCCAAGAGAAGUGGCCUCAAGAUGAAAUCUACCUUGCUGGUACUUUGAUCUUGGACUUGCAGCCUCCAGAACUGUGAGGCUUGUCCAUUUUAAUGAGAAGCUUAUGUGGCAUGGAACUGAGUUCACCCCCAACCAGCAGCUGGUGAGGAAUGGAGCUCUUCGUUCAAUGACUCAUAAUGAGCUUUGAGACAACCAAAGCCCCCUAGCUAACCUGUGCCUGGAUUCCUGGCCCACAAAGACAGUGAGAGAGGGACCCAACUCAGCCCAUGAAGCCACUGAAAUACAGGAAAGAGCAUCUUCAUUGAAGCCACUGGAGCAUGGGAAAGAGCACCACCAGCUCCCUGCUCGCUAGCUGUGAACCUCAGGAUGGAAUAGAAGAUGGAUAAAAAGCUUCUACUGCAGCCUGGGCCCAGUUCACUUUCUCUCUUGGCUCCAAUCCUGGUGGACACAGUAGGGGCUCCUCAAAAGCUCCACCCAUCACCUCCUUGAAUCACUGCAUCAUCUACUUCACACUGGGGCACAGACAAUUGGAUGGCUUCUUUGAUCUCUGUCUAGCACUUGAUCGUAAGUAUUGGAUUUGAAAACCUAACUUUAAAUAAUGUGAGGAAGAGGAUCCAAGGUAUGUUUUAUUUCAACAUAUUAAAAAUGGAUAUCAGAUAUAAAAAUACUGGUUAAGUUAUAUAAGUAGAAUUGUUUCCAGACCAUAUUGUGUAUUAAUUAUAUCCUAGUUCAUAGCCAUAAAACAAUAUUUUAUUAUACUACAUUUCCGGUGGUCACUGAGCAUCCAUGAGUAUAGUAAGUGGAAAAAUGGUAAAAUCUGCAAAAUGGUUCUAUAUUAGAUUUUAUUAAAUAAGAGAAGCAACAACUUAAAUCAGACUCAAAAAAUCAAAAUAAUUUGGCUCCUUUAAAAAGCAAAGAAAGAUCAACAAAAAACUAACAUUUGGCCGAGGUAGCUUGCUCCCUUGUGGAUUCAGAGCUGAAAGUUACUGAAGACAUAUCAGUACAAAUGUGCACAUUAGAUAAUUCC
rnacentral:lncRNA from 1 species